rnacentral:rRNA from 1 species
UACGUAGGGUGCGAGCGUUGUCCGGAAUUAUUGGGCGUAAAAGGCUCGUAGGCGGUUUGUCGCGUCGGGAGUGAAAACCUUGGGCUUAACUCAGGGCUUGCUUUCGAUACGGGCAGACUAGAGGUAUGCAGGGGAGACUGGAAUUCCUGGUGUAGCGGUGAAAUGUGCAGAUAUCAGGAGGAACACCGGUGGCGAAGGCGGUUCUCUGGGCCUGUACUGACGCUGAGGAACGAAAGCGUGGGGAGCGAACAGG